UGGAUUGGCUUGUUUUCGCCUCUUACACCUGGGGCCAUCCGCCAUGAUCUCGUGCUUCAUUGAUAAGAGUGGAUCAGAUGGCAGCUCGCAUGGACUCGACUCCUUGAAUCAGCAGCAGCAGCACGCAGGCUCAAUAUCUAACAACCAAACACAGGCAGCAACAAUAGGAGAGGAGAGAACCAACCCUGGGACACGCGCCACCUAUCGUCACGGGAGGGGAUAAUUGAGCAGGACCAAACGUGAGCAUCUUUUGCUAAACGUGAUACGUUUUUUCUCUCUCUCCCAAGCUGUUUGAUCCGAGUGAAAUGAACUGUGACUGUCGGACUACGACUACCAUGUAUAGCAGCCGAAGAAGCAAGAAUAUUAUCCGGAAGAAGAAAAGUUGGAACACUCUCAUAUUCAACGCACAUGACCACAACUGGAAGGGGGGAAAACGGACCAAAAUGAUAAGCGUUGGAAGUUUGACUGACUCUCACACAUACCAGGGAUGAAAAUGUAAGGUUUGCAGAGUUAAGGAAGUGAGCAUCAGCGGUUUGGGUUGUUCAUGUUUUAUAUUUGUAAACGUUUAUUUAUUUGCCUCCUCUAUAGACGUGCGUUUAUUUUUACUAUCGCAAUAACCACUAUGAGCAUGUAUAACGGCGCGUGCCCCAUGCAUCUACAAGAGCGACAGAGAUGUGUAUGUUGAGAUGCUUCUCGCACUUGCCAGGUGGAGUCAGCUGCGUACAGGUACUUUAGUUGAAGUUUUCCCCGUGUGUUUUAAACAAAGUCUAUGUGCACUCAUCACUCUGACCAGGUUUGAAAUACGUCAAGGGUAUACUUUAUUCCUUUUUUUCCACAGGUGUUAUUCAAGGUUAUAUCGACGAACAUAUUUCACUCUAUUGCAACUAUAUGCCAUGGCUAUUACUCCAAUUAAUGUUCCUCUAUUUGAUUUAUUUAUGUAUUUCCCUGUGAUGCUGCUGCUUCAUUUUCUGUCUGUCUCUCGCUAUAGAUGGAGAGAAAGGCUCCACCUUUGCAACGCUGUGAUUGGUUAUGUAAAUAAAGUAUUAUAUUUGCUGUCCUGUCCUAUGCAGUUAUCAAUUGUAUGGAUAAUUAAAUCAUCAAUCAAGAUGCUCGACUGUUUGAUGCCUUUGUCCAAAGCCAAUCAAAUUCCAGAGAACUCGGAAGCACAGCUCGAGAGGAAAAGGUGCUCAACAUCUGGCAUUAAAUGUUCCAAAAAGACGGUCGAUAUAGACAGAACAGCUGAAAAUAGAUUGCUAUUAGAGUAUUUUUCAAUAUUCUUAUCUGCAAUUAAUUUGAAUGAAUUAUAUAUAAUUGUACUAAUUAUAAUUCUGAUUAUUAUUAACAAUAUGAAUAUAAUGUUGUAUUUGUAAUAUUAUGAUUAUUAUGUUUAUUAUUACAUGUACAGUACUGUAUUUAUUUGCAGCCUACUACUCUAUUUAUGUUGCACUGUUAUAUUUUCAUUAGCUAGUUAUGUACAAAAUAACUUUGUUGUCAUUUGUGCAGCUGUUAUUGGUCGCAGCCAGGUGAUAGAGCGUCACAGACUUGAAGAAGGGGACCCGCUUUGCUGCAGCUGUCCCAUGGAAACACAGCUAUUUUGGGAUUCCAACUCCCUGCAGGACUGCUGUUCUGUGCUGAGAAAGGAGCGGCGAUCGCGAUGGAAUUGCUCCCUGGAAAUGUUACAUCUAUGCUAAAACUUAGGAGGAGGAGGAGGAAGAGGAGGAGGAGGAGAAUGCACAGGUGGUGGUGGGGAAAGAAUCUAAUGGAUUGGAAUCCCCAAACUAAAUAAGAGAGCGAGGGGUGAGGGGGAUGAGUGGAGGAGGAGGAGAACAGGACUGUGUCAUUUCCUGUACAUGAGAACAUACCCCAAAGCUGCUCUACAUUUCACUGUUUUAAUGUCUCCCCUGAAUAAUUUCACAUACCACAAGUACGGUAUAUGAUACAUUAUGUUAAGUAAGAUUUAUGUUGAAGACAAUUCAACGUCUUACACCAGGUAUGACUGCCUUUAUGACUACUUAUAUCCUAUAUACCGCUGACAGCUCCUUUCAGCGAUGGUGAGUAUACAUUAUGUCUGAGGCCCUAAACAUACAGCUGACAGCCUUCUAAAGGUGUUCGGUAUACAAUACAAUGUAUAAGGGCCUAAAUGAUAAUGGUGUGACACAAAGCAUCUUUCCCAGUUCACAUCUAUCCCUCUAGUUUGUUUGUAACUCUCCCUCUCUCUCUCCCUACACUACAAUGACGACAACAACAUUGACUGUAGAUCUCUCUAUGGGACCCGUUCUGUGAUAUUCUGAAACCCACUGCUGUAAAUAGCUGUAGAUAUUAUGCCAUUUUAAACUCCGCCGCUGCUCGCAGUGUACAGAGUAAAGAACAUGAGCGAUUGUUGGACAAUUAGAGAACAGAGGUGACCGUGUGUGUUUGUGUGAUCUUUGCGGAGAAGUCUCAAACACGCAAUAUGAAUUUGGUUUACGUUCGCUACAGGCCUUACAGGCAAACGAGCACUUCUCCUUUGCUUGUUCUUUUCUCAAAAACACUUCAGAUGUUUCUCAGUGUAUAUAAAAUAAAGUGAGAGCGAGAAGAGAGAGCGAGAGAGUGAAAGAGAGAGAGAGAGAUCACAAAGUAACAGAACAGAUUGCUUAGAAACAAAAAGCUCACAUCAGAAACGUAUUGAUUUUUCUUCUGUUGGUUGCUCUUGUUAAAAUCAACAGAGUAAGUGCAUGGUGAUUGAGACUGCGAAUGACAACUUAUUCAUUUGCGCAGCUCAAUAAGAGACAGAUCAGAUGUUCUGCUUUGCUUUGUAUCUUUCCUGUGGAAAGAGGUCAGGUCCCCAGUGGCCAGAAGAGUAACAGAUUGGUGGAGGGAGGCUAUGAGGGCCUCAGAAAGACUAACAUUUCUGUUUUAAUAUUUUGAUUGUCCCUCUUUGUGAAGCAUAUAUACCAAGAAAGGAUAAAGGCAGAAAACACAGACAAUUAAUGUUUGGCAUGGACAACAGUUAGUUUUCUUUUACCCUAAGGUAAGCUGUUCAGGAAAACAGGAAACGUAUUUCACUCUCGACUCUAAAGAUGACUUAUCACUCCCUGGGAUUAAUAAAUGAGGGUGGCUAUGAUGCGUUAUUAAUAAAACAUUUGAAUAAU